rnacentral:rRNA from 1 species
UAAUCCGGGUUGCGGACAGUGUCUGGUGGGUAGUUUGACUGGGGCGGUCUCCUCCUAAAGAGUAACGGAGGAGCACGAAGGUUGGCUAAUCCUGGUCGGACAUCAGGAGGUUAGUGCAAUGGCAUAAGCCAGCUUGACUGCGAGCGUGACGGCGCGAGCAGGUGCGAAAGCAGGUCAUAGUGAUCCGGUGGUUCUGAAUGGAAGGGCCAUCGCUCAACGGAUAAAAGGUACUCCGGGGAUAACAGGCUGAUACCGCCCAAGAGUUCAUAUCGACGGCGGUGUUUGGCACCUCGAUGUCGGCUCAUCACAUCCUGGGGCUGAAGUAGGUCCCAAGGGUAUGGCUGUUCGCCAUUUAAAGUGGUACGCGAGCUGGGUUUAGAACGUCGUGAGACAGUUCGGUCCCUAUCUGCCGUGGGCGCUGGAGAACUGAGGGGGGCUGCUCCUAGUACGAGAGGACCGGAGUGGACGCAUCACUGGUGUUCGGGUUGUCAUGCCAAUGGCACUGCCCGGUAGCUAAAUGCGGAAGAGAUAAGUGCUGAAAGCAUCUAAGCACGAAACUUGCCCCGAGAUGAGUUCUCCCUGAGACUUAG